AUUACUGUGGCAGAUUUAAGUGCAUAGAAUUUAAGCUUCUAGGAUGGGGGCUCUCCUGUAAUA
rnacentral:tRNA from 1 species